rnacentral:lncRNA from 1 species
GUAUCACUACAAUUGCUACUACCGUUAUGGUACUUGCACAACGUGCUUGCUGUUCUGUUAAUACAUACCAUCUAGUACUUCAUUUAGUUUUUAAUUUCACUUUAUGCUCUGUUGCUAUUAUUCCAUUUGACUUCUCCUUCAUCUUCUACUCUUUCUCUUUCUAGUUAGUUUUGGUUUCUUGUUUCUGAUAAAGAACCACAUCUUCAAACUCAGACACACAGUUUAACUCUUUCUGUUAUUUCUAUGUUGUUUAUGUUCAUAAAACAAGAGUAAAAUGAUGGGUUGUUCUUCUAAAGUUGGGAAUAAUAGUUAGGAUUGUUCUUUGUAGAUUUUGUUGAAUUGGCUGUUUGCGGUGUUCAUUUGGAAAUUUGUACAGUCAGAUAUUUUUAGCUAAUCCUUUUGUUGCAUGCUUGGGAUUUAUCAGUUCAUGAAACUGUAUUAUAAUUAUUGUUGUUUUUUUAUCUUAUUUUCUGUCUUGUGGGACUUCUUUCUUUAACUUUGUGAGUUGAAUAGGAAAACCCAUCUUUGCUUUACAUUUUCAUUGAGUUAUUAAUUAUCUGUAUGCUUUAAUUCUGGUCAUCUCUGCUUUAUAUAUCAGGCCUCGUCUGGUGCAAAUCUGUUCUCAUGUAGAGUGAAGAUAAUCAAGAAGAGGGAGAGGCUGAAUGCUCACUUCGGUCAAGUUGGACUACAGAAAAUAUGUAAUUUAUGGUUUGUAUGCAAAGAAAUUGCCAA